rnacentral:rRNA from 1 species
GGAAACCGGAGCUAAUACCGAAUGUGAACAUUUUUGGGCAUCCAGAGAUGUUUAAAGCUGGGGACCGUAAGGCCUGGCACUUCGCGAUGAGCCCGCGGCCUAUCAGCUAGUUGGUGAGGUAACGGCUCACCAAGGCUAAGACGGGUAGCUGGUCUGAGAGGACGACCAGCCACACUGGAACUGAGACACGGUCCAGACACCUACGGGUGGCAGCAGUCGAGAAUUUUUCACAAUGGGCGCAAGCCUGAUGGAGCGACGCCGCGUGGGGGAUGAAGGGCUUCGGCUCGUAAACCCCUGUCAGUUGCGAACAAUGUGCACUCAAUAACACUGGGUGCGCUGAUAGUAGUGACAGAGGAAGGGACGGCUAACUCUGUGCCAGCAGCCGCGGUAAUACAGAGGUCCCGAGCGUUGUUCGGAUUCACUGGGCGUAAAGGGUGCGUAGGCGGUUCUGAAAGUCUGAUGUGAAAUCUCCAGGCCCAACCUGGAAAUGGCAUUAGAAACUGCAGGGCUAGAGGCUUGGAGGGGGAACUGGAAUUCUCGGUGUAGCAGUGAAAUGCGUAGAGAUCGAGAGGAACACCAGUGGCGAAGGCGAGUUCCUGGACAAGUCCUGACGCUGAGGCACGAAAGCCAGGGGAGCAAACAGGAUUAGAUACCCUGGUAGUCCUGGCUGUAAACGGUGCACGUUUGCUGUGAGAGGAAUCGACCCCUUUCG